rnacentral:rRNA from 1 species
UAGGGAAUCUUCCGCAAUGGACGCAAGUCUGACGGAGCAACGCCGCGUGAGUGAAGGAGGUUUUCGGAUCGUAAAACUCUGUUGUUAGAGAAGAACAAGUGCUAGAGUAACUGUUAGCGCCUUGACGGUAUCUAACCAGAAAGCCACGGCUAACUACGUGCCAGCAGCCGCGGUAAUACGUAGGUGGCAAGCGUUGUCCGGAUUUAUUGGGCGUAAAGCGAGCGCAGGCGGUUCCUUAAGUCUGAUGUGAAAGCCCCCGGCUCAACCGGGGAGGGUCAUUGGAAACUGGGGAACUUGAGUGCAGAAGAGGAGAGUGGAAUUCCAUGUGUAGCGGUGAAAUGCGUAGAUAUAUGGAGGAACACCAGUGGCGAAGGCGACUCUCUGGUCUGUAACUGACGCUGAGGCUCGAAAGCGUGGGUAGCAAACAGGAUUAGAUACCCUGGUAGUCCACGCCGUAAACGAUGAGUGCUAAGUGUUGGAGGGUUUCCGCCCUUCAGUGCUGCAGUUAACGCAUUAAGCACUCCGCCUGGGGAGUACGACCGCAAGGUUG